rnacentral:rRNA from 1 species
UACGUAGGGCGCGAGCGUUGUCCGGAAUCAUUGGGCGUAAAGAGCUCGUAGGCGGCCGGUUGCGUCUGCUGUGAAAUCCCGGGGCUUAACCCCGGGCGUGCAGUGGAUACGGGCUGGCUGGAGGCAGGCAGGGGAGACUGGAAUUCCUGGUGUAGCGGUGAAAUGCGCAGAUAUCAGGAGGAACACCGGUGGCGAAGGCGGGUCUCUGGGCCGAUGACUGACGCUGAGGAGCGAAAGCGUGGGGAGCGAACAGG